AUCGGACAUGUUUCAUUACAAGUAGGAAUAGAUUGAUAAUGAUGACAAAAGAAGAAACAAAAAUACAGAUGAACCCAUACAAAGAGGCCCUGAAGCACUUGCUCACAAGCUUGGAUCGGUAGGCACCAGAACAAGCUUGCUCACAAUCUUGCUGAUAGAGCUAGAAGACAGGAGAUCUCUUAUGUCUAUCGGACGUGGAAUUAAGAGAGCUCUUACAUGCUGAAUGUAAUCCGGGUCAUUUUGUGUAUGAUUUUUUCAACAACAAGCUUAUCGGAUCAGCUACUUCUGCCUAAAUCAACCAAAUAAGUACAGAGUUAUCUUAUGUUAUUUCAAGGUAGAACCAAGGAGAUUAUUAAAUUAUUUCCUCCUUUCUUAACAGAACAC
rnacentral:lncRNA from 1 species